rnacentral:rRNA from 1 species
GAUGAACGCUGGCGGCGUGCCUAAUACAUGCAAGUCGAGCGAAGCGGGGACGGGUGAGUAACACGUGGAUAACCUCCUAUAAGACUGGGAUAACUUAGGGAAACCGGAGCUAACCAGGAUACUUAAAGAUGGAUCCGCGCUGCAUUAGCUAGUUGGUAAGGUAACGGCUUACCAAGGCAACGAUCCAUAGCCGACCUGGGAGUGUGAUCGUCCACUCUGGAACUGGGACACGGUCCAGACUCCUACGGGAGUCAGCAGGGGGAAAUCUUCCGCAAGGGGCGAAGGCCUGACGGAGCAACGCCGCGUAAGGGAUGAAGGUCUUCGGAUCGUAAAACUCUGUUAUCAGGGCAGCGGUACCUAAUCAGAAAGCCACGGCUAACUACGUGCCAGCAGCCGCGGUAAUAC